rnacentral:rRNA from 1 species
CCUACGGGUGGCAGCAGUGGGGAAUAUUGGACAAUGGGGGCAACCCUGAUCCAGCCAUGCCGCGUGUGUGAAGAAGGCCCUCGGGUUGUAAAGCACUUUCAGUGAGGAAGAACGCCUGGUGGUUAAUACCCAUCAGGAAAGACAUCACUCACAGAAGAAGCACCGGCUAACUCCGUGCCAGCAGCCGCGGUAAUACGGAGGGUGCGAGCGUUAAUCGGAAUUACUGGGCGUAAAGCGCGCGUAGGUGGCAUGAUAAGCCGGUUGUGAAAGCCCCGGGCUCAACCUGGGAACGGCAUCCGGAACUGUCAAGCUAGAGUGCAGGAGAGGAAGGUAGAAUUCCCGGUGUAGCGGUGAAAUGCGUAGAGAUCGGGAGGAAUACCAGUGGCGAAGGCGGCCUUCUGGACUGACACUGACACUGAGGUGCGAAAGCGUUGGUAGCAAACAGGAUUAGAUACCCGUGUAGUC